rnacentral:lncRNA from 1 species
GCAUGGCAGGGAUGGAGCCCGGGCUCCCGUGAUGUCUUCUCUUCACGUAGUAGUUAUUGUGGCAGGUGAAUUCAGCAUCCCUAUGGAGCGUGCUAUAGUUACUGUGGAGGGACAAACAGUCUGCUGCUGCGUGUGGAACAACAGCAUGGCAUUUUUUCUUUGUGCAGCAGUUGAGCACCUUAAGACCCCACGCUCUCUUAUCCUGUGGAAGUGCUGGGAGGAUUUAUCAUGGGUGUUUUGCAGUUCUUGCAAAGGACCUGCUUGCCGGUGACGGGUGCGGAAGAUGCCUUGUACGAGGUCCGAUCCAGCCCUACGUAGUCAAAGAUUCAUUUCCCAGCGACAAGGGAAGGGUAAAGCCCGCAGUGAUUGAGAUUGCCGAGAUAGGAGGUUGCUGGUGCUGAGGACUGUUGGGGCCGUGUUGGUUUGGUGGAAGGAGAGCCGAGUCCUGCACCUCAUACGGCGAAGGGUCGGUCCCGUCCUGGGCCGGAGAGCAGUGGCUUUGCCCUGCUCUGGACCACUGGAGUGUGCUCCGGAACAUGGUAACACCUUGUAGUCCAGGAGAUGGUCCUGCUGCUCAGGAGGAGGUGUCCAAACUUGAGUUAUUCUCUGUCACUUCCUGCAUGUUAAAAAAUGUCUUUGUCCGUGUGAGUUUUAAGCUGAAUUAGUGAGGUCGUGGGCAGAACACGCGCAAGGAAGCUAAUCCGAGGGGGAAAACUGGGGGAGGAGGACCUGGUGCUCCCCAAAUAGCCUUGGUAUGUCCCUCUCGGGGCUCUUCUGGCUCGGCGUGCCGAGGUGCCGGCCCGGGACGCCCCGCGCGGGCUGGCAGCGGCACUGCGCCCUCGUGGCAGUGUGAACGUUGGCUCCUUCCCAGCAGCUGCGCAGGUGUCUUUGAGAUGGAUGUUGUAAUUUUGUAUGUUUAAAAGUACAGAUGAAACGCGGGGUUCCGCGGGCUGAGGCAGUGCAGUUGGUGAGCGGCAAUGCCAGCAGCAUUUUCUUUGGUUGCAGCGGUUGGGGUUUGCUCUGGCUGUUGCUGGUGGAAGGGCGUUCCUCGGCCCCGUUUUCGGGCAGCUUCCAGCACUUCCUUGGAGUGCGCAGUGCUCGAAGCGGUCGGCUUUCGCCCCUCGCGCUGGAGCUGCAGCCCCCUCCCACCCCUUUGUUUCCAGUAAUCUCCUUUCCUUCGGACGAAGGCGUAAGCGGUAGAUUGAUACAAAGAGGAAGAUCAGGCGUUUGCUUGGAAUAACUGUGCUCCCCUUCCUAAAUGUUUCUGCUCUGUUAACGGCCCUUGGUAACCACCAGCUGGAGCUGUCGCACCAGGCUCGGCAC